GAGAUGGAGUCUCGAUCUGUUGCCCAGGCUGAAGCGCAGUGGCACAAUCUUGGCUCACUGCAAGCUCUGCCCCCAAGGUUCACACCAUUUUCCUGCCUCAGCCUCCCAAGUAGCUGGGACUACAGGCGCCCGUCACCACACUCGGCUAAUUUUUUGUAUUUUUAGUAGAGAUGGGGUUUCACCGUGUUGGCCAGGAUGGUCUCGAUCUCCUGACCUUGUGAUCCACCUGCCUCGGCCUCCCAAAGUGCUGGGAUUACAGGCAUGAGCCACUGCGCCCAGCCCAAGUAUGCAUUUUUAAAUAUUUAGAAUGCAUGUGCCUUAAUCCAUUUCCUGCUGCCUAUAGCAGAAUACCUGAAACUGGGUAAUUUAUUUUAAAAAGGAAUUUAUUCCUUACAGUUAUGGAGGCUGGGAAGUCCACAGUUAAGGGGCCACACCUGGUGAAAGCCUUCUUGCUGGUGGGGACUCUAGAGUCCCAAAGUGACAUGGUGAGGGAGCUGAGCAUGCAAACAUGCUACUGCAGGUCUCUUCCUCUUAUAAAGCCACCAGUUCAGGCCAAGCGUGGUGGCUCAGAAUCUGCAUUUUAACAAAAUUCAAAGGUGAUUCAUAUACUCAUUGAACUCUGAGAAGCACAGUACUAUAAAAUCUAUGACAUUUAGGAGUUCCAUAAACUCUCAAAGACAAGUGUCCACAAUUACUACCAUUAUUCAGUUUGAAACAGUCUCUGAACAGUAUUGUGGCAUAGUCAUCUAUGAGUUAUGGGCUUUUCCUGCCCUUGAAACUAUCCCUAAAUUUUCCUGAACACAUAUCAGGAAAGGGGAAGGAUUUAAGAACUGGAAGAUAGGAGAUAUUCCUCAAUCUCUGCAGGGAUGUUUUCCUCAUUUGUGGGAGAAAAAAACUACAUAUAUAGGCAAGCCACAAUGAUCAGUAAAUUGCAGCUUAUUAGUUAUACUAAGAUCUGGUCUCCUCACACAUAAAAGAGGUUACAUCAACUACUGGCACUUUCUGUGAUACCUAGCCUGUCGUAAAUGUGCUGUUUUUAUUCCUAGCAAAUGUUUGAAUCCAAGCAAAACCUAAUUGGAGGUAUGGAUUUUACCUUCCAUCUGAGGACUGAGGCUGCCUUCCAAAAAGUUAGGGGAGUUUUAUUUGAGGCUUCUUGGCUGUGGACUCUGUUUCCUACCUAGGUCACAUGUAAAACAGGAAGAUUAAAACUAAAUCAAAUCAACAUUUAUUGAGCAUUUAUUACGUCUAAAGCUCAUGCAACCCUAUAGGAAAGCAUGUUUUUUAAAAAAUCUUUGUCUUCUAAGAACUUACUCACUCAAAGAAAGGGCUACUCCAUUUUCUAAAUCCUACAUGUCUUGAAAUUACAAUUAAUCUAGAGAACAAAAAGCUGAUUAAUAACCAAUUAUACAUAUUUUCACGAUCAAGGAUUUAUAUGUUAUUGAGCUGAUUAAAUCUUGUCAUUUUAUACAUCAUGUUUAAGAAUUCAUUUAAGAAAAUUACAGAAGUUAUAGCAACAGAGUUUUUCAGGUUUACAGUAUUUCCUACGUUCUCAGAAAGGAGGGGUCUUCCCUUGCUAAUACAAUUAUAACUUUGUCAAGGUGAGAACUUGCAGCUGGGAACUAUGCUCCCAACUGACAGACUUGUUAGUGCCCUUACAAGUCACUGACACCUCAAAGCUGGCCAGCUUCAUGCCUUAAAACGCUUAACAACUUAAUGGGUCCCUACACUGUCACUUGGGAAUUCACAUAAAGAUGACUUUCUUCCAAAUAUGAUAAUGUUCCC
rnacentral:lncRNA from 10 species